CUUGUCUUAAAGAUUAAGCCAUGCAUGCCAUGAUCGCAGGCCCUUCUUGGUUCUCACCUUGAAGGGCCGGGUAGUCAGCGAACGGCUCCGUAUAUCUGUUGUUACCUGUCGUGAUAAAUUAGCGUGGAUAUUGCACGGAAAAGCUGUGUGUAAAACAGCCAAGAUACGGGGCCCAAGCCCCCUGCACGUUGACACUGUACGGGGGGUUAAGUGGGGGCCUGCUCUGACCAUAUCAGGUCCCCCGCCUCUUCAACGCUCCCAAAGUACCCUAUGCCGCUCGUACCUGCAUAGGGGAAACGGAGGCCUCUUCUGAGAGUACUCUCCUGGCGGGGGCUGUGCCGAUAAAGGGCCUCCACAGGCCCCUCCAAUGGCCAGCACAAAAACCUUAGCCAUAUCUGACUCUCGGCCGGAAGAGACUAACCACAAGUGCACGAUGGGCUUCAGACCUAUCAGCUAGAUGGCAGGGUAUUGGCCUACCAUGGCUAUGACGGGUACAGAGGAUCAGGGUUUGAUCCUGGAGAGGUAGCCUGAGAGAUCGCUACCACUUCUAAGGAAGGCAGCAGGCGCGUAACGUUCCCAAUGCUGGUGUAGCCGCAGUGAGGACGUGAAGGGACAUAACAAUGCCUCUAUUAUAUAGUGGGCAAUUGACAAUGGGGUGGGCGCAAAUAUCCCACCGAGAAGCGACUGGAGGACAAGUCCGGUGCCAGCACCCGCGGUAAUUCCGGCUCCAGAAGUAUAUAGUUGAAUUGCUGCGGUUAAAACGCUCGUAGUCAAGUUCUGGAGUGAGCGCCUCGUCAGGGACUGUUGGACUGGCCCAUGGUCCCCCCAUUAUUGAUCCAGGCCUGUGGCCUUCCCGGGACUAGCCGAGGUUUUAUACUUUCGCCUGCGGCCCCUGGGUUGGAGCGGACCGUUACACAUGGAUCGAGGUGGGGGAUCGGCUUUGGGGUGGGACCAUGCCCUGCUGGGGUAGUUGUUGCCCCUGGGCGCCCUCCAUGGACCGUGUACAGCAUGCCAUUUGCAGGGCUGCUUGCCUCAUCCCACCGAGCGGCGGGCGAACCCCGCCUACUAGGAGGGCUCUGACGGGCUGCCUGAAUAACACCUUGCUGUACAGUGGGCAAGUACUGAGCAGAGGUUGGCCGGCCGUACCUCCCCCCCCUCAUGGGGGCGGGUGGAGGGCCCCAGCCGCUGUUAGGCGGUACUGUGUGAAUGGGCCCACAGGUCCAGGAUCUUUGAGUAAACUCGAACGCUUAAGGUAGGCCCAUUGCCAGCCUCAGACAGUAGCAAAGUAUUCCAACCUAACUGUGCUGGGUGCGGGUGGUGCUCCCUCGUGGACAGCACCCGUGCUAAUCGGCACCUUUGCCCACCUGCUGGUGAGUUUAAUAGGGGAGAAGGGGGCACUUUUUUUGCUUCCCGCAGCGGGUAGGGCAGGCAAUUUAUAUGGGGGUAAUCGGGGCCGGCCACAUGGCGAGGGGAGAGGUGAAAUUCGUUGAUCCUCGCUGGGUGAACUAACGCGAAAGCAGCCGGCCAGGGUACUCUCCUCGAUCAAGAACGAAAGCCUGGGGAGCGAAUGUGAUCAGAUACCACAGUAGUCCAGGCCCUAAACGUUGCCAGCUGGAGACGGGUCUAGGUCAGUGUAGACUUGGCCCGGAUCCUGAGGGAAACCAAAGCUUACAGGCUCCGGGGGGAGUAUGGCCGCAAGGCUGAAACUUAAAGGAAUUGAC
rnacentral:rRNA from 1 species